rnacentral:rRNA from 1 species
CUUAGUCGGCCGGACCGGACCGGCGGGACGGGUCGACGUAACGUCGUAUACGUAACCUUACUUNACGAGGGGUAACAUCGAGAAAUUGGUACUAAUACCCCAUAACAUCACCGGAGGCAUCUUCGGUGGUUGAAAACUCAGGUGGUCAGAGAUGGACAUGCGUUGUAUUAGCUAGUUGGUGAGGUAACGGCUCACCAAGGCGACGAUACAUAGGGGGACUGAGAGGUCAACCCCCCACAUUGGUACUGAGACACGGCCCAAACUCCUACGGGAGGCAGCAG